GAGUGGCAGACGGGUGAGUAACGCGUGGGAAUCUACCCAGAACUUCGGAACAACUGAGGGAAACUUCAGCUAAUACCGGAUACGCCCUACGGGGGAAAGAUUUAUCGGUUCUGGAUGAGCCCGCGUUGGAUUAGCUAGUUGGUGAGGUAAAAGCUCACCAAGGCGACGAUCCAUAGCUGGUCUGAGAGGAUGAUCAGCCACACUGGGACUGAGACACGGCCCAGACUCCUACGGGAGGCAGCAGUGGGGAAUAUUGGACAAUGGGCGAAAGCCUGAUCCAGCCAUGCCGCGUGAGUGAUGAAGGCCUUAGGGUUGUAAAGCUCUUUUAGUGGGGAAGAUAAUGACGGUACCCACAGAAAAAGCCCCGGCUAACUCCGUGCCAGCAGCCGCGGUAAUACG
rnacentral:rRNA from 1 species